GGGUAUUUACAGCAGCUUUAUUCAAAAUAGACAAAAACUGGAAACAGCAAUAAUAUCCAUCAAUAGGAUGAAGAAUAAGCCAAUUUUAUUAUAUCCACUGUGCUCAUCUUCUUGGGCAGCCAUAACAAAAUACCACAGAUUGUGUGGCUUAGCGAGCGGAAAUGUAUUUUCUCACAGUUUUAGACGCUGGGAAGUCCAAAAUCAAGGUCCCAGCCAAUUUGCUUCCUGGUGAGAACUCUCUCGCUGGCUUGCCGAUGGCUGCCUUCUCGCAGUCAUCACAUGGCUUGUCCUUAGCGUGUGUGCUCAGAGAGGGGGAGUUCCUGGUGUCUCUUCUUAUCAGGGCACUGAUCCUAUCAGAUUAAGGGCCCAUCCUUUUGAUGUCAUUUAACUUUAAUUAUUUCAUUGUGUUACUGGCUACAAAUAUAGGUUCCCUACCUGCCACACAACAGGGGCCAAAUAAAAACUGGAACACCAGGGCUUAUGGGAAGGAAAGAGUUUUUAUUUCAGAUGACAUCAGCCAGGAGAUGCGAGUGAGCCCUCAAAUUCGUCUUGUCUCCUCUCGUCUCCCUGAAAGAUCAGGGGCAAGGGGUUUUUCAAGGUUGCAAGGAAUGUUUCUGCUUGUGAGGGGUUGGGGGGAGUCUGUGGCCUUGCUGGUUGGAGCUUUCCCACCAGCCUGUGUUCUGCCUUGGGAGGCUGCUUACAGGGAGGAGGAUAAUAAGGGAAUUUGUCGGUGGAAAACCUUGACUGUCUGUCUCCAUGGCGGAUAGUGGAUUCUGGAACCAGGGAGCCAGGGAGUAAGCAGGGAAUGAGUGCUUUGGUUUUAACCCCAUAUAUGCUGGGUUUAAUGUGGAGAAACCGAUGUCAGGGCUAAUUAGAGGCCUAUUCCUAAAUACAGCCCUACUCAGGUUAGAGCUCCAACAUGUGACUUUGGGGAGCACACAAACAUUCAGUACAUAACAAUAAAUUAUCUAAAAUAUAGCACAAAGAGACUACACAUAUGAAAGACAGGUUAGAGACAUU
rnacentral:lncRNA from 1 species